rnacentral:rRNA from 1 species
CCUACGGGUGGCAGCAGUGAGGAAUAUUGGUCAAUGGCCGUAAGGCUGAACCAGCCAAGUCGCGUGAAGGAAGAAGGAUCUAUGGUUUGUAAACUUCUUUUAUAGGGGAAUAAAUGUAUCCACGUGUGGCUAUUUGCAUGUACCCUAUGAAUUAGCAUCGGCUAACUCCGUGCCAGCAGCCGCGGUAAUCCGGAGGGUGCGAGCGUUAUCCGGAUUUAUUGGGUUUAAAGGGUGCCUAGGUUGUGUUUUAAGUCAGGGGUGAAAGUUUGUGGCUCAACCAUAAAAUUGCCGUUGAAACUGGCAGACUUGAGUGUGUGAGAGGUAGGCGGAAUGCGUGGUGUAGCGGUGAAAUGCAUAGAUAUCACGCAGAACUCCGAUGGCGAAGGCAGCUUACUGGGCCAUAACUGACGCUGAAGCACGAAAGCGUGGGGAGCAAACAGGAUUAGAUACCCUGGUAGUC